UACGUAGGGGGCAAGCGUUGUCCGGAAUCAUUGGGCGUAAAGCGCGUGUAGGCGGCCCGAUAAGUCCGCUGUGAAAGUCCAGGGCUCAACCCUGGAAUGCCGGUGGAUACUGUCGGGCUCGAGUCCGGAAGAGGCGAGUGGAAUUCCUGGUGUAGCGGUGAAAUGCGCAGAUAUCAGGAGGAACACCGAUGGCGAAGGCAGCUCGCUGGGACGGUACUGACGCUGAGACGCGAAAGCGUGGGGAGCAAACGGG
rnacentral:rRNA from 1 species